UCGCCUAUAGCUCAGUCGGUAGAGCAGAUGGCUGUUAACCAUCUUGUCGGGGGUUCAAAUCCCUCUGGGCGAG
rnacentral:tRNA from 2 species